rnacentral:lncRNA from 1 species
CUGCUGCCACAUAUCCAACCAUCAGGAAUGAGGAGCAAUGGAGUUCUUCAUACGGUACAACCCCUUGAGGAAACCAACCACCUACUUGGUGGCUAAAUGAUUAUAUCAGACCCCUUCAUGCUGUAAAGAGCAACAAUUCAUCCUGGGCAUAUUUAUCAUAACCUGAGGAGCCUCUGAUAUAGUCAGGGUUAUAGUUUGUUCUAGAAACUCUCCUCUUACAAGUAACCAGAAACUGCACCAGUCAGAAUCCUGGAAGACCUGCAACCAGAUGGAGUCACAUGGACAUAGGAAGAAUCAGCUCUGAGUGGUACAAAUGGUAAACUGGAGUCUGCUUUGUGUGCUGGAGUUCCCAUGUUGGCUGCCAAUGACUCACACCUAUGCUGUUUCCUAGAGGCUUGCAUUUGGCUGAAGGAAACUGCCUAAGUCACACAUGGCUGGGAUAUUAAACCACUUCCCACCCAAGUGUACAGAGGCCUCUGUCCAGCCACCACCAACAUUUCUCAGCCUGUUUUGCAAUAGAGGGGCCACAGGAAUAGUUCUCAGCAAUGGAAUGGGAGACAAGCUGGCAGCUGCCACAGAAAAUAUCAAUUCUGCUGACUCCUUUGGGAGUUUGCUCACUUGGAAAGAAACUCAAAAGGGCAAACCUUGGCAGCUCUCUUUCCUCUGCUUGGCUUAACUAUAAGAUAAACCCUAACACGUAAGAAGCACUCAAUAGAUAUUUACUGAAUAAAUGAAAUGAAGCCUGGAAGAAAAUUUUAUUA